rnacentral:misc_RNA from 1 species
UGGGUUAAGUCCCGCAACGAGCGCAACCCCCGUCCUUAGUUGCUACCAUUUAGUUGAGCACUCUAAGGAGACUGCCGGUGAUAAGCCGCGAGGAAGGUGGGGAUGACGUCAAGUCCUCAUGGCCCUUAUGGGCUGGGCCACACACGUGCUACAAGGUGACAAUGGGACGCUAAGGGGCAACCCUUCGCAAAUCUCAAAAAGCCGUCUCAGUUCGGAUUGGGCU